rnacentral:lncRNA from 1 species
CUUGACAGGAUGCGUUGGUUUGCUGUUCUAGGCCUUGAAAUGAUCCUCCUGGGCUUUAUCGUACUAUUAAGAUGGACGGAUAUUAAACUUAGCUUGUGUGUUUAGGGAAAGGAGCAAAGGUAAAUAUUUGACACCUAUUUAUCUAGGCCUGGGAUUCACAAAGAGUUUUGUGACUCAUUUGGGUUCCAUUCUAGCUUACCGGACUUUGGGAUUCCAUUCCAAGGUUUGAGGUCAAACGCCAGCAAUAAAAUGUGUGUAUUUGCUGGUCUUCUCCAAGGACCUUUUCCAUCUUAGUAUGGGAAAGCCGGGAGACUUUCUGUUAAAGACUCCAGAUUCUCGGCCAAAUCCCACCUCCCUGGCUAUAAUGAAAUGUGGCGAACGAGGAGCUACUUCAUCAGAGAAGAUGGCAGUGUUAUGGGUGCAUUUAUCUCUGCGUUCAGGUGCAGCAAGACAGAGAUGAGGAAGAAAAUCUGCCAAGCACUAGGAAACAAUAUUAAACAAGCACCUAGAGGAAAUUGCAAAGUACUUUCUAUUUUAUCAGGAUUUCUAAUUCCAGCAUGA